UAGUAUUCAUAUACUAUAGUCGUGUGUAAAACACUAUCAAGCAAGUUGACUCAGUAUUCAUAUACUGUAGUAAGCUUCAGAGAGUAAUACUUACAUCAUUAUAUCAAUCAAAAUCAUAAUAUCCUUAUAUCAUUACUUGUUCAACCAUUUGUUUAUUUAGCAUUUACAGGUAAUUCCGCAAUCAACCUGUAUAAAUCGAAAAGAGGCUAUUACCCCCCCCUUAUAGCCUCGGAUCACGAUCCAACAGAUUUUACUUAAGUCGACUUUACCCAGGUCGACUUUUUCAGAGAUCGAUUUUCCCAGAGAUCAACUUUUCAGAAGUCGAGCUAGAAAAGUCGACCUUUAAAAAAAUCGAUCUCAAAAAGUCGACUUGAAACCAGAUUUGAGCAAUUAGGCGAAGUGUAACAUCUCGAAAUUUAACAGACAAUAAUGAAAUCAAUGAAUCAUGUUCAAUCAUACAACAAAUGGCUAACUGCCUUUAUUACAAUUCAAAUGGUUCAAAAUGCAAAUAACAAAAAUGUGGAAACGGAACAAACGAAACAAAGUGAGUUUUGAAAUCAAAACUCAGUACGGAUAUCAUAUUACUUCUCUUUUUAGUUUUUUAUUUCUAGGUUGAUAAACAGACUCGUUUAGCCAGACGUCUUAGGGCUUCAAGCCCUCUCGUAGGAACGACUGUUGUCAUUCCCCAAACUUGACUUGUGUGGUGCACAAGCUCGACCAGACUCGAAUUACUCUGAAGAAUAAUUCGACCAGACUGCCCCGUCGGUCCGGUUAACCUCGUCAGGCUCAAACUCGAAUUCCCUCAUGGUUCACCCGAUCAAUAUCCCCAAAGGGUCACAUUAUCAAACUUAGCCUCUCAGCUCAAAUUCGAGUUCCCCAUGGGUUCACUCGACCAAACUCCCCCGUCGGGGCACAAUUUAUCAUAUUUUUCUUUUCCAGUUCCAUUAUUUAAUUGUUGGCCUCAGUAUGGUUCGCCUCGUUCAUAUCGAGGUUUGAACUCUCAAUCAUGGAUUCAGGUCGACCAUCUCCCUGAUCCAUUUAUUCCCAACGUACUAGCUAAGAGAGUGGAAACCCAAAAUGAACCUUAAGGUGAAUCAAGGGUCCCCCUGGAGAAAUCCUUGAUUUAACCUAAGUCUCAUCCUCGCCUACUCUCUUAACCUAGAUCGGAAUUAGACCAUAUGAGCGCAGAAGGUCUCCCCGAGGACUCUUGUGCGUCACAAGGUUACUAACUCAACCCCACUCAUACACACCCCAAGGCUCUCUUUUACCUUGGGUUCCCUUCCCCACCAUACAAACGGGAAUACUCAUCAACAACUUAUCACAACAAUAUCACAUAUUUAUGUGGUUUACUAGAUGUAUAUCAUUUUAGUCGAUUUCAUAUACAAUAUAAACAAGACUACUUGACCAUUGAGAAGAGCAUAAUAUCAUUAACCAAAAUAUAGAUAAGGCAUGCAUAAAAUCCAUCCACAAAUGGGGCAUCACGUACUACACAACAUGUAUAACCAUGUAGAAACUACGUAUAAAUCUCGUCGAACUUGCAUAAAAUAUGUAUAAGGAUCCAUUAUCAUGAGUAGCAUCAAAACACAUAAAACUCAUAUGCAAAAACGUGUAUGAAAUUAUGUGCAAACCGUAUAAAAAGGUAUAUAAAAGUAUACAUAAAAAUCCAACAAUACAUAAAACAAUAAACACAUCAAAACAAGUAUAGAUAAACAUGUAGAAAACCAUGCAUAAAUCUCGUCGAACUUGCAUAAGGAUUCAUUAUCACGAGUAGCAUCAAAACACAUAAAAAUCCUAUGCAAAGACGUGUAUAAAACUAUGUGCAAACCAUAUAAAAAUGUAUUUAAAGUAUGCAUAAAAAUCCGACAACACCUAGAGCAUUAAACACAUCACAACAAACAUGGAUAAAUAUGUAAGAGACCAUGUACAAACCUCGUCAAAAGGUAUAGAAGUACAUGCAUCAAGAUCCAUCAUGAUGUGUAGUACCAAAACAUGUAAAACAAUAUGCAAAAACGUAUAUAAAAUUAUGUGCAAACCAUAUAGAGAGGUAUAUAGAAGUAUGCAUCAAAAUCCAGAAACACAUAGAGUAUCAAACAACCAUGUAUAAGCAUGUAAAAAAUUAUCAAAUCUUUCAUAAAAACAUGAAGAAUUAGACUUACUUUUACACAUAUUUACUAUUAUUUUUAAAAGAGAAACUAUCAAGAAAAGUUACUACGAUUUUCGUACCUUUUUUUUCCUAGCUUUAGCUCCUCCUAGCUCCCAAAUCGUGUCCUCCCUCUUUUUC
rnacentral:lncRNA from 1 species